CGAACGGGUGAGUAACACGUGAGCAACCUGCCCCUGACUCUGGAAUAAGCGCUGGAAACGGCGUCUAAUACUGGAUAUGAGAAGGGUCCGCAUGGGCACUUUCUGGAAAGUUUUUCGGUUGGGGAUGGGCUCGCGGCCUAUCAGCUUGUUGGUGAGGUAAUGGCUCACCAAGGCGACGACGGGUAGCCGGCCUGAGAGGGCGACCGGCCACACUGGGACUGAGACACGGCCCAGACUCCUACGGGAGGCAGCAGUGGGGAAUAUUGCACAAUGGGCGAAAGCCUGAUGCAGCGACGCCGCGUGAGGGAUGACGGCCUUCGGGUUGUAAACCUCUUUCAGCAGGGAAGAAGCGAAAGUGACGGUACCUGCAGAAGAAGCACCGGCUAACUACGUGCCAGCAGCCGCGGUAAUACGUAGGGUGCGAGCGUUGUCCGGAAUUAUUGGGCGUAAAGAGCUUGUAGGCGGUUUGUCGCGUCUGCUGUGAAAAUCCGGGGCUCAACCCCGGACUUGCAGUGGGUACGGGCAGACUAGAGUGUGGUAGGGGAGACUGGAAUUCCUGGUGUAGCGGUGAAAUGCGCAGAUAUCAGGAGGAACACCGAUGGCGAAGGCAGGUCUCUGGGCCACUACUGACGCUGAGAAGCGAAAGCAUGGGGAGCGAACAGGAUUAGAUACCCUGGUAGUCCAUGCCGUAAACGUUGGGCGCUAGGUGUGGGACUCAUUCCACGAGUUCCGUGCCGCAGCUAACGCAUUAAGCGCCCCGCCUGGG
rnacentral:rRNA from 1 species